rnacentral:tRNA from 1 species
GGGCACGUAGCUCAGUGGGAGUGCGCUCGCUUCACACGCGAGAGGUCCCGGGUUCGAAACCAGGCGCGCCCA